GAACACUGUUUCCACCAAUUGUAAUUGUGAAUUCGACUACAUCUUAGUCCACAUUCAAAAGCACGAAAUCGACAAUCUCAACGAUCCAGAGUUUAAGAAAAACGCGAAUUGGCUGCAAAUGCUGACGGCGUUGAUCGAGGAUCACCAGGAUUACGAGGGCAAGGAAGCGAAGGUUCAGUUGAACGAAUGGAUGCGAGAAAGGGAUAAUCUACGCAACGAUAUCAAACGCGUAUUCAACCAACAGUUUGGUUCAGUCUUUAGGACGUACCAUAAUCCGACCUACUUUUCUAGGCGUCUCUUUCGUUUCGCGGACAUCUACAUGAGCAACAUUACCAACCUCUUAAACUAUUCGACCACUCACACCUUUUACCCGAGGAGAGGAGUCAUGCCCCAUGAAUACACUAACUAUUUCGUAUAAAACGUGCGCAAACCGAGCCAAAACCAUCAUGCGGUAUAAAAUAUGCGUUACGAAAUUGAUCUCGAAAUAUUUGGGACUAACGCAUCGUAUUUUAUUCUUUCCCAAAAAAAGAAAAAAAAAAGAUAAUCAAAAUUCAAACGUAUUGAGAAAACAGAAAGAAAAUAAGCAUCUUAGUUUCCUUCCUUUCAGAUUACAAUUUAAGAUCGACCUCACACUAUUAAUACGCUUAAAUUUAUCCGUAAGAAGUUGACGAAAUUUAAUAGUUUUUAACUUUUCUUGGUAGUUAGAUCGGUACAAUUUUCCUUAAUUGUAGUUUAUUUUUCCCCAGUAGUAGAAACGUUGCGUGAAAUUCAAAUCCUGUGGGGAAAUUCAAUAGCUUAUUUCGUAGCGCUACAGUUUGUGCAAGUUUAUCGAUAGAAAUACCUAGGAAUGUCAAGAUUUACUUUUACGUUGAAAAUGUUGCCAAAGCUUAAGUUGAGUUAUAGCUUAUUACGAUUAAGAACUAAUUGAAUGAUCGAUCGAUAUAUACAAUAAGUUAACGCUACGUUAUUCUGAAACGAAUCGUACUCUUAUCGUUGGACGUUUGCAAGUACAAAUAGAUAUGUAAUGCCCCCGAGUAACAUCGGGAUAUCUCAAUCAAUCUGAUCGAAUAGAUAAUUACAAUUGAUAGAUAUAAACGCACGAGUAUUAGCAAUGAUCGGAUAAAAUAUUCGUCAGAUAUUAAUUUAUUCAGCUAGAAUUUACCAUGAGUAAAAAAAAUGAUAAAAAUAUUAUUUGUAAUGCGCGAAGUGAACGAUGUUUCCGGAUAUUAACUGAAAUCGCAGUAUCUGAUUUUUGAUUUAUUCAUAAAAAAGUAACAUUACACACGUAUUGUAAUUACAAAUGAAGGCACGCGAAGUUAAGGAUAAUAACCGGGAGUUCCAGACAUUUUUCUAUCGGUUGUCAGGCUAUUACCGGUUUCUAGAGUCUGUUGACAUCUUGUCAUUAUUACAUCAAUGCCAAAAUUUGAGUUUAGUAAUAAUUAUGAACAAUAUGAAAUUAAAAAAUUACAAUACUGCGUUCUUUUCCGUGUCUCGAUAUCAUCAUUUGGCUUGAAUAGUUGCGUAUCUCAUGCCAAAUUUCAAACGUAAGAUAACCGUUACUCGUAGAUACUUAAAAAAUGUUGAAGCGAGUCAUUAUGCAUGUUACAUAC
rnacentral:lncRNA from 1 species